rnacentral:rRNA from 1 species
AGAGUUUGAUCCUGGCUCAGGACGAACGCUGGCGGCGCGCCUAACACAUGCAAGUCGAACGAGCGAGAGAGAGCUUGCUUUCUCGAGCGAGUGGCGAACGGGUGAGUAACGCGUGAGGAACCUGCCUCAAAGAGGGGGACAACAGUUGGAAACGACUGCUAAUACCGCAUAAGCCCACGGUGCCGCAUGGCACAGAGGGAAAAGGAGCAAUCCGCUUUGAGAUGGCCUCGCGUCCGAUUAGCUAGUUGGUGAGGUAACGGCCCACCAAGGCGACGAUCGGUAGCCGGACUGAGAGGUUGAACGGCCACAUUGGGACUGAGACACGGCCCAGACUCCUACGGGAGGCAGCAGUGGGGAAUAUUGCACAAUGGGGGAAACCCUGAUGCAGCGACGCCGCGUGGAGGAAGAAGGUCUUCGGAUUGUAAACUCCUGUUGUUGGGGAAGAUAGUGACGGUACCCAACAAGGAAGUGACGGCUAACUACGUGCCAGCAGCCGCGGUAAAACGUAGGUCACAAGCGUUGUCCGGAAUUACUGGGUGUAAAGGGAGCGCAGGCGGGAAGACAAGUUGGAAGUGAAAUCUAUGGGCUCAACCCAUAAACUGCUUUCAAAACUGUUUUUCUUGAGUAGUGCAGAGGUAGGCGGAAUUCCCGGUGUAGCGGUGGAAUGCGUAGAUAUCGGGAGGAACACCAGUGGCGAAGGCGGCCUACUGGGCACCAACUGACGCUGAGGCUCGAAAGUGUGGGUAGCAAACAGGAUUAGAUACCCUGGUAGUCCACACCGUAAACGAUGAUUACUAGGUGUUGGAGGAUUGACCCCUUCAGUGCCGCAGUUAACACAAUAAGUAAUCCACCUGGGGAGUACGACCGCAAGGUUGAAACUCAAAGGAAUUGACGGGGGCCCGCACAAGCAGUGGAGUAUGUGGUUUAAUUCGACGCAACGCGAAGAACCUUACCAAGUCUUGACAUCCCUUGACAGACAUAGAAAUAUGUUUUCUCUUCGGAGCAAGGAGACAGGUGGUGCAUGGUUGUCGUCAGCUCGUGUCGUGAGAUGUUGGGUUAAGUCCCGCAACGAGCGCAACCCUUAUGGUCAGUUACUACGCAAGAGGACUCUGGCCAGACUGCCGUUGACAAAACGGAGGAAGGUGGGGAUGACGUCAAAUCAUCAUGCCCUUUAUGACUUGGGCUACACACGUACUACAAUGGCGUUAAACAAAGAGAAGCAAGACCGCGAGGUGGAGCAAAACUCAGAAACAACGUCCCAGUUCGGACUGCAGGCUGCAACUCGCCUGCACGAAGUCGGAAUUGCUAGUAAUCGUGGAUCAGCAUGCCACGGUGAAUACGUUCCCGGGCCUUGCACUCACCGCCCGUCA